rnacentral:rRNA from 1 species
UGGGGAAUCUUGCGCAAUGGUCUGACGACUGACGCAGCGACGCCGCGUGCGGGAGGACGCCCCUCGGGGUGUAAACCGCUGUUGCCCGGGACGAACGACUGGUUUCGACCAGUGUGACGGUACCGGGUGAGGAAGCGCCGGCUAACUCCGUGCCAGCAGCCGCGGUAAUACGGAGGGCGCGAGCGUUGUCCGGAAUCACUGGGCGUAAAGGGCGCGUAGGCGGCCGGGGCAGUCGCUGGUGAAAGCCCGGGGCUCAACCCCGGGUCGGCCAGCGAUACUCCCCGGCUGGAGUGCCGUAGGGGCAGGCGGAAUUCCGGGUGUAGCGGUGGAAUGCGUAGAGAUCCGGAAGAACACCGGUGGCGAAGGCGGCCUGCUGGGCGGCGACUGACGCUGAGGCGCGACAGCGUGGGGAGCAAACAG